CACGUAGGGUGCGAGCGUUGUCCGGAAUUAUUUGGGCGUAAAGAGCUCGUAGGCGGUGUGUCGCGUCGGCCGUGAAAACCUGCAGCUUAACUGUGGGCUUGCGGUCGAUACGGGCAUCACUGGAGUUCGGCAGGGGGAGACUGGAAUUCCUGGUGUAGCGGUGAAAUGCGCAGAUAUCAGGAGGAACACCGGUGGCGAAGGCGGGUCUCUGGGCCGAUACUGACGCUGAGGAGCGAAAGCGUGGGGAGCGAACAGG
rnacentral:rRNA from 1 species